CUGGCUUUGUUUGAAUGGACAGGUCAAACGAUUUUAACACAACACAAUGUGGAACGAUGCGCUAUUUCCACUCGUGGGAAGACUGGGUAAACCACCCGUAAUCCAUUAAUAUUUUAACCAGUUUCUGCGCAUGCAUACAUGAUCACCCAAUUCAUACAAGUGCAUAUCCCAGCUGUUUUAUUGCAAUUCCUAAUAAAAAAGAUUGUUGGUGGCUUUGGAUCUGUAAUUGAAGCAGUGAAACCCAUUAACCCAAUGAGCAUCUGUCUCUUUUUUAUUAGGAAUUGCAAUAAAACAGCUAAGUAGGCACAUGAUGAAAUUGGUGCUUUUUGAGCCACAAUUCCAGCAGCACGUCGUUUUGUCAAGAAAAGGAUCAGACAUGCCAUUAUAAACAUUGAACUACCAGCAGGCAGUAACAUGAUUAGGCCGCAAAUAUGAUUAAUCCAUUUGCAUUAGCCAGGCCUAAUAACUCCAACUUUAAAG
rnacentral:misc_RNA from 1 species